rnacentral:rRNA from 1 species
UGCAAGUCGAGCGGACCGACGGGAGCUUGCUCCCUUAGGUCAGCGGCGGACGGGUGAGUAACACGUGGGUAACCUGCCUGUAAGACUGGGAUAACUCCGGGAAACCGGGGCUAAUACCGGAUGCUUGAUUGAACCGCAUGGUUCAAUCAUAAAAGGUGGCUUUUAGCUACCACUUACAGAUGGACCCGCGGCGCAUUAACUAGUUGGUGAGGUAACGGCUCACCAAGGCGACGAUGCGUAACCGACCUGAGAGGGUGAUCGGCCACACUGGGACUGAAACACGGCCCAGACUCCUACGGGAGGCAGCAGUAGGGAAUCUUCCGCAAUGGACGAAAGUCUGACGGAGCAACGCCGCGUGAGUGAUGAAGGUUUUCGGAUCGUAAAACUCUGUUGUUAGGGAAGAACAAGUACCGUUCGAAUAGGGCGGUACCUUGACGGUACCUAACCAGAAAGCCACGGCUAACUACGUGCCAGCAGCCGCGGUAAUACGUAGGUGGCAAGCGUUGUCCGGAAUUAUUGGGCGUAAAGCGCGCGCAGGCGGUUUCUUAAGUCUGAUGUGAAAGCCCCCGGCUCAACCGGGGAGGGUCAUUGGAAACUGGGGAACUUGAGUGCAGAAGAGGAGAGUGGAAUUCCACGUGUAGCGGUGAAAUGCGUAGAGAUGUGGAGGAACACCAGUGGCGAAGGCGACUCUCUGG